ACUGCUCAGUAACACGUGGAUAACCUACCCAAUAGUCUGGGAUAACCCCGGGAAACUGGGGAUAAUACCGGAUAGAUCAUCUUUGCUGGAAGGCUUGGUGGUUGAAACCUCCGGGGCUGUUGGAUGGGUCUGCGGCUGAUUAGGUUGUUGCCGGUGUAAUGUACCGUCAAGCCUGUAAUCAGUACGGGUUGUGGGAGCAAGAGCCCGGAGAUGGAUUCUGAGACACGAAUCCAGGCCCUACGGGGCGCAGCAGGCGCGAAAACUCUACAAUGCAGGCAACUGCGAUAGGGGAACAUCGAGUGAUCCUCAUAUUGGGGGUCUGUCCACCCGCCUAAAAAGCGGGUGUUAGCAAGGGCCGGGCAAGACCGGUGCCAGCCGCCGCGGUAAUACCGGCGGCUCGAGUGGUGGCCGAUAUUAUUGAGUCUAAAGGGUCCGUAGCCGGCUUUGCAAGUCUCUCGGGAAAUCCAGCGGCUUAACCGUUGGUCGUCCGGGGGGUACUACAUUGCUUGGGACUGGGAGAGGCGAGAGGUACUCAGGGGGUAGGAGUGAAAUCCUGUAAUCCUCUGGGGACCACCGGUGGCGAAGGCGUCUCGCCAGAACAGGUCCGACGGUGAGGGACGAAAGCUAGGGGCACGAACCGGAUUAGAUACCCGGGUAGUCCUAGCCGUAAACGAUGCUCGCUAGGUGUCACAACAGUCGUGAACUGUUGUGGUGCCGUAGGGAAGCCGUGAAGCGAGCCACUUGGGAAGUACGACCGCAAGGUUGAAACUUAAAGGAAUUGGCGGGGGAGCACA
rnacentral:rRNA from 1 species